UACGGAGGGUGCGAGCGUUGUCCGGAAUCACUGGGCGUAAAGGGCGCGUAGGCGGCUCGUGAAGUCAGUGGUGAAAGCCCAGGGCUCAACUCUGGGUCGGCCACUGAUACUCUCGAGCUCGAGUUUGGUAGAGGCAGAUGGAAUUCCGGGUGUAGCGGUGGAAUGCGCAGAUAUCAGGAGGAAUACCGAUGGCGAAGGCAGGUCUCUGGGCUGACACUGACGCUCAUGCACGAAAGCGUGGGGAGCAAACGGG
rnacentral:rRNA from 1 species